CGGGAGCGGACAGGGGAUUAUUUAUUUUUCAGUCUUUUAACAUACAUCCCCAACUCAAAAGUUGUCCCUAUCUACUAUCUAGCGAAACCACAGCCAAGGGAACGGGCUUGGAAAAAUCAGCGGGGAAAGAAGACCCUGUUGAGCUUGACUCUAGUCUGACUCUGUGAAGAGACAUGAGAGGUGUAGCAUAAGUGGGAGGCCGUGAACCCUCGCGGUUGUGUCGUGCCGUCAGUGAAAUACCACUACUUUCAUCGUUUCUUUACUUACUCGGUGAAGCGGAAAGCGGACCAUGAGUGUCCACGCUUCUAGCACUAAGUGCAAGGCCCUUCGUUGGCCCGCACGAUCUGUUCCGAGGACAGUGUCAGGCGGGGAGUUUGACUGGGGCGGUACAUCUGUCAAAUGGUAACGCAGGUGUCCUAAGGCGAGCUCAGCGAGGACAGAAACCUCGCGUAGAGCAAAAGGGCAAAUGCUUGCUUGAUCUUGAUUUUCAGUACGAUUACAGACCGCGAAAGCGGGGCCCCUCGAUCCUUUUGACUUUAAGAGUUUAAGC
rnacentral:ncRNA from 1 species